AGAAACUUAGGAUAACCUGCCAAACCGAAG
rnacentral:tRNA from 1 species